rnacentral:rRNA from 1 species
UACAGAGGUCUCAAGCGUUGUUCGGAUUCAUUGGGCGUAAAGGGUGCGUAGGUGGCGCUGUAAGUCGGGUGUGAAAUUUCGGAGCUUAACUCCGAACUGCAUUCGAUACUGCGGUGCUUGAGGACUGGAGAGGAGACUGGAAUUCAUGGUGUAGCAGUGAAAUGCGUAGAGAUCAUGAGGAAGACCAGUGGCGAAGGCGGGUCUCUGGACAGUUCCUGACACUGAGGCACGAAGGCCAGGGAGCAAACGGG